ACGGGAGGCAGCAGUGGGGAGUAUUGCACAAUGGGCGGAAGCCUGAUGCAGCAACGCCGCGUGAGUGAAGAAGUAUUUCGGUAUGUAAAGCUCUAUCGAUGGGGAAUAAGAUGAAGGUACCCAAGUAAGAAGCACCGGCUAACUACGUGCCAGCAGCCGCGGUAAUACGUAGGGGGCAAGCGUUAUCCGGAUUUACUGGGUGUAAAGGGAGUGUAGACGGAAUAGCAAGUUUGAAGUGAAAUACCUGUGCUUAACGCCGGAAUUGCUUUGAAAACUGUUAAUCUAGAGUACUGGAGGGGUAUGGGGAAUUCCUAGUGUAGUGGUGAAAUGCGUAGAUAUUAGGAAGAACACCAGAGGCGAAGGCGGCAUGCUGGACAGAUACUGACGUUGAGGCUCGAAAGCGUGGGGAGCAAACAGGAUUAGAUACCCUGGUA
rnacentral:rRNA from 1 species